CCAUACCGGCCGGGGAGCUAGCGGUGCCCUGCACCUGCAAUCCGCUACAGCAGGGGUGGUUUCCCUUUUUGAGGGCUUAUGAUGUAUGGUUUAGCCCCGUAUCUUGGAUGUUGAGGAAUGGGUCUCGUGCAAUCACUCGCUGUGAACCAUGUCAGGCGGGGAACCGAGCAGCAUUAAGCGGUUGUUGUGAUGUGCCGCGAGGUUGCCUGUUCUGAGUUCAAGUUACGGCAAGCACUUAUGUCUUGGGUUCGAUUUAAGGGUGUAUGG
rnacentral:SRP_RNA from 1 species